CAAAAAGCCACUUGUAAUUGUAUUUUUCAUCCUUCUCCUCUGGUCUCCGCUGUCGGAUCUUCUGACCGUCUCGUGUCAAAGUUGAAUCAAAUAGUCAAGGUUUGCUUCCAGGUAAAAACUCUCACAAUUUUGAUGAUCAAAACGAAUGGCAGAUCAAUCGAUCUCUGUUAACACAAAAUUUCAGAUUUUUCUCAAUUUGAUCGGUAAUAUUUGUUUUAUAUUUUGAAGAUUACGUCCACGCAAUAGUUUUAAGGUGUUGUAUGUGUAUGUGAGAAAUGAGGCGGAGACGUCAUAUCUUAACCUAAAAUUUCAGAACAGGUCUUUCACAUUGUUAAGGUUUACGAUGAUUUUCAUUAUUUCGAAGGAGAUUUCUGAUGAUUUUUUGAAGUAAUGGAGUCCUCUUGUUUUAGAAUUUGGUAUAUAAACAGAGAAAACUGUUGUUGUGGAUGUCAAUUUUAUGUUACGUGCACAGUUAUGCAACAUAAUGUGUAUCAUGAUGCUCUCCGUGACUAUUUUUAUAUAUACACAUCUUGUGUUUGAAAAUAAGGUAAGGAAUACCGAGUGCACAAUCUGUUGUAAUCGAUCUUAUUAUGGUGAUUGUUGAACCAGUUUUUAUUUAUGAUUGUAAAUUUUUUUGCUUGAGAGUUGGAAUUUUACGAUUUGAUAUAAAUGCUCACUGCUUUUCUUUUUUCUUUUUUCGGUUCUUUUGGAAGGAUAAUUUUUUGGCAAUUCAAGACGUUAUUAAGUUGCAUGAAAGUCAAAGGUUGACAAAGGUUUCUGGGUUCUGAUAUGAUAUGAUGAGUUAGACAAGCUUGUUAAUUUCUGUAUGAUUGAUCAAUUUAUUGCACUCCUGUAGUGAGAAUUGGGAAGAUAAGUUGAGAUAGCUGUUUAUUAUAAUGAGAUUCUGACGGAAAAGCAUACACACUUGACUAGCUGCCAAGGUUGAAGUAUUAAGGUUUGAGCUAGAUUGUUGCAUUAUUGUGGGAUUUGCUAGGUACAGACCACAUAACAUCGUGAACGAAACUUCUCAUUUAAGUUAACGAAUGCAAAACGUUCAUUAAGCGUUGUUAAGGCUGUGCUGUUUGUGGCAUGUAAAAUUUCUUGGACUUCCUUUGCAUGUUUGCUGGUGCCAAAUUCCUAACCUGGGCCUCGCAAAGUUGGUGCUUAGUAUAAAGAGAAGAAACUUGUUCCUAUUUUUUUUUUUUUUUUAUCUUCUUUAGUUUUACAGGUCCUGGUGGACUCUUCAAAAUUGUUAUUUAUAGAAUUUGAUUUGAGGACCUUGAGAGGCUGUUUAAAAUUAGGGUAGAGGGGAAUGAUACAGUUGUCAGUUAGAUCUUCCUAAGGCCUUUGAAAUGAUGAUUAUAGAUGUUGAUGGAUUUUCAAGACCAUGUGGGGAAUUUGGGGUUUCUUUCUUAAUUGUCUUUGGUAUACAUGCUGUUCAGAAUCGACUGUUUUUCCUCAUUCCUCAUUGAAAGAGGUUUGUAACGCAAAAUUAUUAAAUAAAAGCUUCACUGUGUGUGUAAUUUUUCUUCCGGAGGACAUGUUUUCCUCACUUAUUGUAAAUGUACUUUUUUUGAUUCUAAUAAAAGUCCCUUUUCUCUAAAAGAUUGUUCAGACUUGUCCAGCUUUUGGAUAAAGAAUUGUCUUGCGUUGACUGUUGUAUGUGCUAAUUGCGUAAAGUAAAUCAAUUCUCUACAUAUAACAGUUGCUUUGUUAGCCAAAAAAAGUAAAAAAGUGGGAGGGGAGAGGGCAAAGCUUGGUUUUGCAUAUCUGUCAUCGUGAAAAGAUUUUUAGUGAAGCUAAAGAUGAAGGUAAAACAGGAAUGGAGAUGGUCUCAAGAGUUACACUAUUUUGAUUUAAUGCUCCAGAGGCUAUACAACUCAGAUAUUUCACAGAAAUGGAGACUAAUAUAGGUUUACAUUGCAGAAAAUGCAACCCAUUGUGUCUUCAUAUCAGGUCUCAGUACAAUUAUGCUGAGUAGUUUUCAUAGUUUUGAUUUUAUAAAUGUACCUUUGGGAAAUGAUAGAUUUGCAACCACAUUACUGCGCUGUGGUGACCACAACUUAUUCUUGACAUAGUUAGCUGAUUACAUGGCAAAUCAUGCUUAAUAGUAGAAUUUGGAUGAUAGCUGAUUUUUUGUAGUGAACUAAUAAUGUGCUUCGAGAUUGGUAAAAUUGCUGUGAGGAACAAAGCUAUUUCUAAAGUUGUGAUGAUUUUUCUGCAAAUAAAGAAAAGAAAAUACUGUCAGUUAGCUAUGGGAAUAGGUAAUUAUUUAUUGAAAGGAAAUCAUGUCAACAGAACAAGUCUGAGGGAGUGGAAAAUAAAUCAUUCAUAAGAUGACAUUAUUUUUGUCACUUGUAUGGAUUUCUUAAAUUAAUUAGGAUGUGAAAUUGGCUUUCUUAGAACAAAGUUAUGAGAGGUCUUGCAUUUCAUGUGUAAAUUAUGCCUGUCAUUUCCUUGGAACCAUGAGACUCUUUGCUGUAACAAACUAUGUGAUAUUCAUAAUAAUUUUGUCUGGAGUUUUUUGUGAUCAUGGUUUUUCAGUAUCAUUAACUUGCUAAUUUUGAGGGCUUCAUGAAGACAUACAUGUUGUUCAUAAUUUUCUUACGUUCUCUAGGAUUUCUUUACCCUUUUGUAGAUUUAGGCAGCCGACUUAGUACCUGUUCAUGUAUGGCGUUGCUAUACCCUUUUUGAUAGUGUUGUUUCUUGAAUGGGUUUAACUGAAACAUCAUUUGGUUUUCAAGUUUUUUGUUUAUCUGCAGACUCAGGUGAAGGAGGAAUUGGCUUCCGACUAGACUCUCUUGCCCUGCAUUCUAUAGAGUAUGUUAAACUAAACAGUUUUUUUUUAAGAUGUAGCAUAGAACUACUGGCAAUUUUUUGGCAACUCUGCUUUAUUCUGUUGUCUAAUUAUUUGUUUACUGUAGGAACAAGAUUUCUGGACAUUGUAACACAUGCUCAAAUAAUUAGGAUAUGUUGACUCACUGGCUCUUUCUGUAGUUUUAUAAUUUUUUAUUUCCAAUAAUUCCUGUGAAGGGACACAGUGUUUCUAUUCAUUCACAUAUUUUCUGGUGAGAAUUAGUUGGUUACCAACUACCAGAAGGGUUACCCAUUAUUUGGCAGAUUGAUAGUUUUACCUUUCAUCUUUGUAGCAUGUAUCUGAAUUACAAAAUUGGUGUUUAACAGCAGGCGCUUUUGCCUUACCGCUCAGUGGAGGAACAUAUUUUGAAUUUCCUAUCUUGUGUUCAUGUCAAGAUUAUUUGAAUAUACUAAUGCAAUAGCAUGCUUAAAACCAAUAUUUUCACUUGGUGAGCAUAGCGGUUUCUAGAAAUAUGUUACCUUAAUAUGAAGGAAAAUCAUGGAAUCUCUUUUUGCACUGUGACAACAAAUCAAACAUGUAUCUUGCUACCUUGGAGAUUUUAGCCAUAUUUAUGUCGUUAAGUUGCAUUAUGACUAAGGUGAAUCCAACAUUACUCUUUGCGCCAAGGUGCAUGUCAUUUGCGGUGGUGAAUAUUCUAGGAUGCAGUAUUGUGAGAAGGCUGUGGUCAGUUUGGUGAGCUCUUACUCUGGAUUGACAACCUGAAGCUUGUACCAUAAAGGGCUAUGGAACGUAGACAUCAAUCUAACAUAUCACAAGCUUUUGAGAAAGGCCAUCA